GGUUCGCGAUCCUCCUCUCUGGCUCCGGGCUGCGCGCAGUGUCUGGGUGGCGAGCGAAUGGUGCCUGCGAUCUUCUGCCUCGGGGACCCGGCUGUCUUCCUUGUGCUAAAAAAACGGAGGAAGUCUGUCUGCCACAGGGCUGAGGGUGGUAUCCAAAGGGUCUCCUCUCCUUGAGUGACUCUGGUUCCUCCAUUGGAUCUCAGCUGGUAGCUCCUGACCUCAAGCAAGUGCUACUGAAGUGGAAAUGUCUUAUAUCCUGUUUUGUGAUUCCCUGCCUCAGAGCU
rnacentral:lncRNA from 1 species